UUUUCGGUAGCCUAACCCAUAAGAACUCCAUGGUUAAGCGUGCUUAGCCUGGAGUAAUUCUGGGAUGGGUGACCUUCCGGGAAGUUUUCCUGAAAAGUGUGCGAGUGAGGACAAAGCACACUGGAAAGUCUCGUGGUGAUUUGUGGGGGCAGUCAACAGUCCCUAUAAGUUGUCGGGGCGUUACAAAUGGUAUCAGAGCCUAGCCUCUCCCAGUACGGUGUGGUUCGAGGACGAACUAAAUGGAAGCUGGUGGGCAUGUGACACCCGGGCACUGACGAGGGCGGGGAGUGAUCGCCGGUGCAAGAAGCAUGGUGCAGG
rnacentral:lncRNA from 1 species